CCCUUAGAUGUUCUGGGCCGCACGCGCGCUACACUGGUCGAUGCAACGAGUUUCUUUCCUUGGCCGACAGGCCUGGGCAAUCUUUGAACAUCGAUCGUGAUCGGGAUAGAUUCUUGUAAUUUUUGAUCUUAAACGAGGAAUUCCUAGUAAACGCAAGUCAUCAGCUUGCAUUGAUUACGUCCCUGCCCUUUGUACACACCGCCCGUCGCACCUACCGAUUGAAUGGUCCGGUGAAAUCUCCGGACUGGCGUGAGUCGGAGCAAUCUGACAAACGCCGGAAAGUUGAUUAAACCUUACCAUUUAGAGGAAGGUGAAGUCGUAACA
rnacentral:rRNA from 1 species